ACACCGUUGGUGAAGUGGUUAUCAUGCUUGCCUUCCAUGCACGACUUCAGCAAGCGGCUCGGGUUCGAUUCCCGAACGGUGUA